UACGGAGGGGGCUAGCGUUGUUCGGAAUUACUGGGCGUAAAGCGCACGUAGGCGGCGGGGUAAGUCGGAUGUGAAAUCCCGGGGCUCAACCCCGGAACUGCAUUCGAUACUGCCUUGCUAGAGUACUGGAGAGGAGACUGGAAUUUACGGUGUAGCAGUGAAAUGCGUAGAUAUCGUAAGGAAGACCAGUGGCGAAGGCGAGUCUCUAGACAGUUACUGACGCUGAGGCACGAAGGCCAGGGGAGCAAACAGG
rnacentral:rRNA from 1 species